UGGGGUAUCAUGUUAGCCACUGAAGUAAUAACAGCUGAAAUUUACUCUUCCUGAAUAGAGAUUGAUAUUACAUCCCAAGGAGAAAAUUGGAACCGUAUCCGAAGUUCAUAUAAACAAGGACUAAAAAGACAAGCUAUAAUAAAAAGUUUGUCAAACCUCUGUGCAAAGGAAAAUCUUUCCGAAAUGAAUCAAAUCCAGAGGCAUCAGCACCACUAAAACCAAAAAUGGACGGCAGAAUGAUAUUGAAAACUCUGAGCAGCAAGGUACUUGAAAGGAAAAAAGAAGUAAAGAAAUUGUCACAGCAAAACGAUAAGAAAAUGUUCCACUGGAUAAAGUAAGAAAAGGCCAGCUUCACCUGAUCCUCAUCACCAACAAUAGUUAUGCGUUUAUGCGAUGCAAGGAUACGUAAAAGUUCAUAUUGCACAGCACUUGUGUCUUGAAACUCAUCAAUCACCAUUGCCUUCCAUAAUUCCUGGCACUCUUCAAAAACUGCAUUUGAAGAAAACGAAAAGCAAACAGAUUCAGACAACUGGGAUAUCACAAUGCACUAGGUUACAGUCUAUUAUAGAACACUUCAGACAACCUUCUGAAAAAUCAGUCAAGAGCUUCGCAGAACAACUGAUCAAGUCACGGUAAUCCAACGCAUUGCAUGCUUUUAAUAUAUCGUUGUAGCUUUGCAGGACUGCAGCCUGAUCAAUAUUCAUCGGAAUAAGGACUUAUGAAUGACAAAAUACCAAAAAUCCCUGAUUAUAGGCUUACUCCAGUUUCAUUUCCGACUUUAUAGUAGUCAUCAGGCGUCUUUCCGGCAGACUUCACCUGUAUUUCAGUGGAAGUGAUGUAAGUGAAAGUAUAACAGCCAUUAAGCAUGCAAAAACACUGUCCUAUUUGAAUAUGAGAGGGAAAAGGGUACAGAGCAGAGAGUUUCAGUUUUGACACAUAAUAGUUAUUUAUUAAUAUCAGCAUUCUAGAAAUCAGUUCUGCAAUGCACCAUGUUUAUGCCUCCAUUCUUUUACACCUUCGUAAGAAAUAAAGCUUGAUCUUGAAAUGUUUUGUCUUUCCAUGAGAGACAGGAUUAUUUGCAAUUGAAAUUGCAGCUUCAUUCUCUACAAGGAUUUCAGCACUCUUCUUUUGUUCCAUGUACAAAUCUGUAAAAGAGAGCAAGAUUUGUGACCAAAUGUAAGUGAACAAUAUACAACAACAACAUACCCAGUGUAGUCCUACAAAGUAGGGAUAAGUGGAAUAGUAUUUUUAACCAAAAACUACUUACUUGAGUCACAAACUUUAACCAUUUCUUUGAUCUCUCCUUAAAAUAUUGAGGAGAAUUCAUAUCAGUAAGCUGGCAAAGCUCAUCACGAGGUUCGCUUUUUUUAUCAUCCAGUAAGCGAACUGCUUCAAUGGCAGCUCUUCUCUGCUGCCCAUGUCCAUAUAUGAGAAAGUCAGGUGUUCGACCUAACCUAUUAACGGAUUAACAUGUGCUUAUAUAGACAAACUAUCACCGUAAGAAACUAAUACAUUGCAAUGAACUACCUUCUAUGAGACAAGUAGGUAUGGAAGUGAAGGAGAAAUCACAUAAAAUGUGCUAAUUGUGGAGGAGAGAGAUAGAGAACUUCUAAACAAUGUUUUAAAAGGCUAAGGUAAAAGUGAGGAGUGCGCCUUGAGUAAAAGGUAUUAGUUUUUAAAUUCCAAAAACAACAACAAUCCCGGUGAAAUCCCACAGGUGGGGUUUGGGGAGGGUAGAGUGUACUCGUGUGCGCAGACCUUACUCUUUCCUUAUGUCAGUAGAGAGGUUGUUUCUGAAAGACUUUCGGCUCAAAUAUCGCAAUUCGGAGCAGUAUGAAAAAGGACAACAGAAGUAAAACGACACAAAUAAUAUCAGAGAAAGCAUUGCAUAGAAUUCAGAGAAAAGAAACCACAACAUUAGAAAAGUAAAGUGAUAACUGAAGUACAAAAUACAACAGGUAGUAACACAAAACGAGGGACAAGCAACUACCGGUAUCCUGUUGAUACACCGUUAUGGAAGGUAAAAUUUACAUGGUGUGCCAAACAAACCGAGCCUAACCAGCUGGAAAGCAAGUCACCGUUCCACUACCUACGACCCACUAAACUUCCACCGUAAUCUGCGACCUUCAAGUGUACCUACUAACCUUCUACCGUAAUCUGCGACCUUCAAGUGCUUCUAUCUAAGGUCAUGUCCUCCAUAAGCUGAAUAUGUGUCAUGUCCCGCCUUAUUACCUCCCCAAUUACCUCUACGGCAUAUUUCUACCUCUCCUUAAACCCACCAAUGUCAACCUCUCACACCUCCUCACUGAGGCAUCUACAGAUCUCCUCUUCAAUGACUAAACCAUCUCUCUCACUUCCCUCAUCAUGUCCACCACAGAGGCCACUCCCACCUUGUCCCAGAUCUCUUCCUUCCUAAUCUUAUCUCUCCUGGCAUACCUGCAUAUCCAUCUCAACAUCCUUGUUUCUGAUACUCAUCUUUUGAAAAUGAAAUUUCGUAACUGGUCAACACUCUGGUCCGUACAACAUAGUCAGCCUAACCACCACUCUAUAGAACUUACAUCUAAGUUUUGUGGUACAUUCAUAGGACUUUGGAUAUGAGCCCCCAUUUCGUCCAUCCCGCUCAUAAAUGAUGUGUGACGUGCCUACACGGUUGUGGGCAGUGGUUUUAAAUUGGUCUGGAUUAUCAUAUCAUGGGUGAUCCAGGCACAAUGAAGAAGGCAUUGUAUAGUUGGGCAUUCAGGAGAAGAAAAAGAAUAGGAAUGUCUUGGGACGUAGCUUAGUUAGCCAUCAUGUGGGUUCUUGGGAAAGAGAGAAGUAUGAAAGCAUUUGAAAGAGUUACUAGUGAUUUUGCUAAGUUGCAAAACGGCCUUUUUUUCUUAUUUUCUUUUGGUGCACCCAUGAGGUGCCUACGUGUAUAGAAGAUUGGUGUCCUCGGUAGGGAACCAUAUUUGUUGUAGGUUCUCUCUUUUGGUAUACAGCUUGUAUAUGAGGUUCCCCAUCAUUUAUAAAAUCCAUAACCUUAAACAGAAUAGGCAAACCAACAUUUUGCUUCAACAAAUAUUGAGGAUCGUGAGAAAAUACUAGGUAAUACACAUAACCAUGGAAAACUAGAUUUUGGUAUACGUCUGCUUUUACGCAAACGUUCGAUAUAAUCGUUCCAACUUUAAGCUUUAUUUUUGUUAAUAUCUAUAUUUUUAUUUUUUAGUAUCUAAAUUUGUUUACUUACAUUAAUUUUGUAAUUUAUAAUAUUUGUAUUGCUUGUGUUGAUAUUUUAAUUUAAAUUAUGGAUUUCGGAAAAAAUAGUAAGUGUUAAAAAAACAAGCUUUGGUAAGGUUUUUCGUAGAAAUAAAAAAAGUAAGGCUAGUACUAGUUCAUUACCACCUACAUUUAAUGAAACUUCUUUAUCACAAUCUAAUAGUUUCGAUGUUGGUAUCAGUAUGGAAUUAGAUAAUGAGACCCUAAGUACGCGUUAUAAUAAUUUUGAGGAAGACUUACCGAAGGAAGAUGAUAUAGAAGAACAAGAUUUAGGUGAUACCCCUACCCCUACUAGUCCGGUUACGGAAUUACCGAAACACGAUGAAGAACUUCCCCCUUUACCGGAAUUUACUAGGGCCAAAGGUACCGAACGUACUAAAAGGUCUUUAGUUUGGAAAUUUAUGGAGCAUGAUAGGGUAAAAGGUAUUGCUGUUUGCAAUAAAUGCAAGAAUAUUUUUAAACAUUUGACCGGNNNNNNNNNNNNNNNNNNNNNNNNNNNNNNNNNNNNNNNNNNNNNNNNNNNNNNNNNNNNNNGAUGAAAUGUAAUAAAGAAUUUAUUCGUCUAAAAAAUGAGGCUAAGGCAAAAAAAGAUGGUACAACAUUCGUACAUGAAUCUGUAGGAGGUAAUAUGGUUCAAACGCCUUUAGCCAUGUUUAACCCAGCUGAAGCAAGUUCAUCAUCAACAUAUAGUGAAGAUGUAGAUAGAGAAGAACUAGCGAAAAUGGUUGUUGUUAUGGGUUUGUCUUUUAAUUUUCCUUCACAUCCCGGUUUUAUUCAUUAUAUUCAACGAGUACAUAAUCCCUCUUUUAAAGGUUUUUCACGAAAUACAAUUAAAAAUGAUAUUUUUAAAUUUCAAGCUGAACAUUGUCAUUUUCUUCGUUGCAUAUUUGAUAAAUUUAAUGGUAGAAUAUCUGUUACUUCUGAUAUGGGUACUAGUGUUGUCGGUAAUGAUUAUUUUACUCUCACGGCUAAUUGGAUUGAUCACGAUUGGGACAUGCAAAAAGAAUUAUUGCUUAUAAAUAUGUUGAGGAGUCUAAAACCGGUCCGGAGUUCCGGUUCCGGUCCGUUGCCAGCCUUAUGCCCAGCUUAAAGCCAGAUAUCAAUUCUCACCUAGAGACAUCAUUCAAUUACAUUAAAGCCCGACAUAUAAAUGAACUACUUGAUACCUAGAAAGAAGAACAAAAACCUAAGGAUUGACUAUAGCUAGCUAGCUCUCUCAAAAGAAGGAAAUGUUAUAUGUCAUCUCUAGAAGUCACCACGCUCAGACCAACGAAUCCUGCCACCAACAAAUCCACGAGGAAUCUCAAGAUCAAUAUCGUGAAGAGAAAGAUCAAUAUCCGCAUGGGGAGCAACAAGAUGGACCUCAUCAGCAACCACCAUAUCCUCGGCAACAUCAGUAUCAGAAUGAGAAGGUAAAAGACGCACCUCAUCGGCAGCAAGACCCGAAUGCACAACAGUAUCACCACCCGUAGGGGAAUCCCCCGGACCUCAGCAGAAGCAGCAAGACCCGAAUCUGAACCAGUACCACCGAAAUGGAAUCCGCAGCAGCAGUUAUGGCAUCUCGGGCAAAAAUAUCAAGGUUGAGCCUAACGACUAUGAGAAGGGUGCCGAUAACUGAGCAAACCACAAAUGUCAAAAUAUAUGUCUCAUUAUAUGAAAAUCGAUAUCCAAAGUCGCAAAGCAAAUGCAGUAGCAUGUAAUCCACAGAUAUAGGCCUCACGAACACCGUGAAAAAAAAGACAGAUAAAGCUCCAAACAUGGUUGCCAACCUUGAGAAGUUGUUGUAACCUCCUUGAGUGACUACGCAUCCCAACUAGUAACAAUCACUCCUACUGCAUUUAGAGCAAGGAGCCAGCAGAAACGUAGUCAUCGGGUCUGAGGUAAUUGAGCUUUUGUAACACCGGUUGUACUUAAAUCAAAAGACCAAUAACAUACAUUGAACUAGCACAAGCAAUCUUGACCGUGAAACCUUGAUCUUGCUUACCAAUGUAAAUGGCAAAAAAGAAGAGGCUGGAAGCAAGCACAGAUCACCAAAGAGCAAGAGAACUGUAAAUGGCAAAAAUGAAAGGCUAGAAACAAGCACAGAUCACCAAAGAGCACCAAAGAGCAGGAGAACUGUUUCAUGGGUUCAAGGUUUCACAGUCAAGAUUGCUUGUGCCAGUUCAAUGUAUGUUAUUGGUCUUUUGAUUUUAGUACAACCGGUGUUACAACAGCUCGAUUACCUAGGACCCGGUGACUACGUUUUUGCUCGCUAUCACCCUGCUCUAAAUGCAGUGGGAGUGAUUGUUGUUGGUUGGGGAUGCGUAGUUACUCAAGGAGGUUACAACACCUUCUCGAUGUUGGCAACCAUGUCUGGAGCUUUAUCUGUCUUUUUUUUUACGGUGUUUGUGUGGCCUAUAUCUGUGGAUUAAGGGCUAUUGCAUAUGCUUUGCGACUUUGGAUAACAAUUUCCAUAUAAUGAGACACAUAUUUCGGCAUCUGUGGUUUGCUCAGUUAUCUGCACCCUUCUUAUAGUCGUUAGGCUCAUCCUUGAUAUUUUUGCUACAGAUUCCGCUUCGGGAGGUGCUGGUCCAUAUUCGGGUCUUGCUGCUGCCUAUGUUGCUCGGACUCGGCGGUUAUGCCGUUGAACCCGUCCCAACGCGACAUUGGUGCGAACGCCUAUGCGGAAUUCAUCUUGAAUUCAGUCAAACGAAUCUGGAGAUGUUGACCAACAUCAAGAAGAAAGUUGGCUUUGUUAUCGAAAGUCGGCGUGGAAUUCGUCUCGAAUUCGGUCAAAUGAAUCCAGAUACGUUGACCAACAUCAAGAAGAAAGCUGGCUUCGUUAUUGAAAGGAGAAACUGGCAAAGGGAUAAAAUCAGCGACUGUGAUUGUUGUCGUUGGCGAAAGGGUUGUCGCCGGCGGAAGGGAUAUCGUUGUCGGAAUUUCGAUUAGGAAGAAAGAGAAAAUGGUAGAAUGCUCAAAUCUGUGAUUGUCGACAGUGGUCCUAUUUUUUAAUAAUUAUAUUUUUAAAAAAAAUAAAUUACAUUAAAAAGCUAAACCUAAUUUAUUUAGAUCUAGUGAGUGUUUGACUUUUCAAAUACUACUCCUAAUUGAAAAGAAUUUAUUUUUUUUCCAUAUAAAAAAAAUACUACCCCUAAUUUAAAAAGUAACUAAAAAAAAUUACCUUAAAAGUGGAAAAAAGUGAAGAACAUUUUUUUAGGAAUAAAAUUUCCUUGAGACAUAGGAAAAAGUAAAUAGAAAUAACUGUUUAAAAUGGGACUAUAUUAAAUAUUUAAUUUUUUUAACCGAAUCCCCGCACCCAUAAUCGGAUUCACACCCCCGAAUCUUAAAAUUUAAAUUUUAUUCAAACUGUGUAAAGUGGAAGCAGUCUCUUGGCAAAAUGCAUGGUAAAGUUGCGUACAAUAGACCCUUGUGGCCCGACCCUUGCGAAUAAGCGAGAGAUUAGUACACUGAGCUGGCCUUUUUAGCUUAGCAAUCAGAAUCUCAUAUUGCAACUCUACCAUUGCGCCAAUGGUGGCCCUCACACAACAAAAGCACGCAUUAGAGCUAAGCAAUUGACUAGUCAUUAUCAUUAAAAAUCUAGUCUUUACAACAAAAGCUUCAGAUGAACUCAAGAAACUAUACACAUUAUAGUUUGACGUCUAUAACUAAUAAAAGAUACACAAUCGACUACUCAAUCAUAGCAAUAAAAAUUUAAUCUUUACCAAGAAACAAAAUAAAGCUAACAAUUUCACGUCCAUUAAUAAGACAAUAAAGUUAGACUAUACAAUAUUUAACCAAAGCUGAUAUAUAUCAAAGUGAAGUGAUGCCCGACUUAAAGCCAGAUAUCAAUUCUCACCUAGAGGCAUAAUUCAAUUGCAUUAAAGCCCGACUGAUGGAUGAACUACUUGAUGCCUAGAAAGAAGAACAAAAAACUAAGGAUUGACUAUAGCGAGCUAGCUCUCUCAAAAGAAGGAAAUGUCAUCUCUAGAAGUCACCACCCUCAGACCGACGAAUCCUGCCACCAACAAACCCAUGAGGAACCUCAAGAUCAAUAUCGGGAAGUGAAAGAUCAAUAUCCGCAUGGGGAGCAACAAGAUGGACCUAAUCAGCAACCACCCUAUCCUCGGCAACAUCAGUAUCAGAAUGAGGAGGUAAAAAACGCACCUCAUCGGCAGCAAGACCUAAAUGCACAACAAUAUCACCACCCGUAGGGGAAUCAGCCCGGACCUUAGCAACAGCCAAACCUAAGUCUGGACCAGCACCACCCGAAGCGGAAUCCGCAGCAGCUGCUAUGGCAUCUCGGGCAAACAUAUCAAGGAUGAACCUAACGACUAUGAGAAGGAUGCAGAUAACUAAGCAAACCACAAAUGUCGAAAUAUGUGUCAUCAUAUGAAAAUCGAAACCCGACGCCUCAAAGCAUAUGCAAUAGCCCGUAAUCCACAGAUAUGGCCACACGAACACCGUAAAAAAAAGACAAAUAAAGCUCCAAUCAUGGUUGCCAACCUCGAGAAGGUGUUGUAACCUCCUUGAGUGACUACGCAUCCCAACUAUUAACAAUAACUCUCACUGCAUUUAAAGCAUGGUGAUAGCUAGCAGAAACGUAGUCACCGGGUCUUAGGUACUCGAGCUUUUGUAACACCGGUUGUACUAAAAUCAAAAGACCAAUAACAUAUAUUGAACUUGCACAAGCAAUAUUGAUCGUGAAAUCUUGAUCUUGCUCACCAAUGUAAAUAAAAAAAAACGGCUGGCAAGCAAGCACAGAUCACCAAAGAAGAAUACUUGCCAAGUUCAGACCGUAAAACAGUUCUCUUUGGUGAUCUGUGCUUGCUUGCCAGCCUCUUCUUUUUUACCAUUUAAAUUGGUGACCAAGAUCAAGGUUUCACGGUCAAGAUUGCUUGUGUUAGUUCAAUGUAUGUUAUUGGUCUUUUGAUUUUAGUACAACCGGUGUUACAAUAGCUAGAUUACCUAGGAACCGGUGACUACGUUUCAGUUUGCUAUCGCCCUGCUCUAAAUGCAGUGGGAGUGAUUGUUGCUAGUUGGGAUGCAUAGUUACUCCAGUUCUCUUCUUUGGUGAUCUGUGCUUGCUUGCCAGCCUCUUCUUUUUUACCAUUUAAAUUGGUGAGCAAGAUCAAGGUUUCACGGUCAAGAUUGCUUGUGCUAGUUCAAUGUAUUUUAUUAGUCUUUUGAUUUUAGUACAACCGGUGUUACAAUAGCUAGAUUACCUAGGACCCGAUGACUACGUUUCAGUUUGCUAUCGCCCUGCUCUAAAUGCAGUGGGAGUGAUUGUUACUAGUUGGGAUGCAUAGUCACUCAAGGAGGUUACAACACCUUCUCGAUAUUGGCAACCAUUUCUGGAGCUUUAUCUGUCUCUUUUUUUACGGUGUUCGUGAAGCCUAUAUCUAUGGACUACGGGCUAUUGCAUAUGCUUUGCGGCUUCGGGUACCGAUUUUCAUAUGAUGAGACACAUUUCGACAUUUGUGGUUUGCUCAGUUAUCUGCACCCUUCUCAUAGUCAUUAGGCUCAUCCUUGAUAUUUUUGCCCGAGAUGCCAUAGCAGCUGUUGCGGAUUCCGCUUCGGGUGGUGCUGGUCCAGAUUCGAGUCUUGCUGUUGCUGCUGAGGUCUGGGUGGAUUCCCCUGUGUAGUGAUACUUAUUGUACAUUCGGGUCUUGUUGCUGAUGAGGUGCGUUUUUUUACCUCCUCAUUCUGAUACUGAUGUUGCCAAGGAUAGGGUGGUUACUGAUUAGGUCCAUCUUGUUGCUCCUCAUACAGAUAUAGAUCUUCCACUUCCCGAUAUUGAUCUUGAGAUUCCUAAUGGAUUUGUUGGUGGCAGGAUUCGUUGGUCUGAGGGUAGAGAAUUCUAGAGAUGACAUAUGACAUUUCCUUCUUUUGAGAGAGCUAGCUAGUUAUAGUCAAUCCUUAGGUUUUUGUUCUUUCUAGGAAUCAAGUAGUUCAUCCAUCAGUCGGGCUUUAAUGUAAUUAAAUGUCUCUAGGUGAGAAUUGAUAUUUGGCUUUAAGUCGGGCAUCACUUCACUUUGAUAUAUAUCAGCUUUGGUUAAAUAUUGCAUAGUCUAUCUUCAUUGUGUUAUUAAUGGGUGUGAAAUUGUUAGCUUAAUUUUGUUUCUUGGUAGAGAUUAAAUUUUUAUUGCUAUGAUUGAGCAGCCGAUUGUGUAUCUUUUAUUAGAUAUAGGUUUUAAACUAUAAUGUGUAUGGUUUCUUGAGUUUAUCUGAAGUUUUUGUUGUAUAGACUAGAUUUUUAUUGGUAAUGACUAGUCAAUUGUUUUGCUCUAAUUCGUGCUUUUGUUGUGUGAGGGCCACCAUUGGCACAAUAGUAGAGUUGCAAACUUGCAAUAUGAGAUUCUUAUUGCAUUUGUUAGUCGUUCGACAAGUGCCCUUCAUUGUAGUAUAACUUUUUAUGAUUUUUUCUAAUGCAGGACCGCAAAACGAGACAGACAAUUGGCAUAGGACAUGAAUCACAAGGCCUUUACCAUCUUACCUCUUCAAAUUCCUUCACAGCAUGCUCCGCUACAGACUCUCCCGACCUUAUUCACAAACGUUUGGGACAUCCGAGUCUAUCAAAGCUACAAAAGAUGGUGCCUAGUUUAUCUAGUCUAUCAACAUUAGAUUGUGAGUCGUGUAAACUUGGGAAACACACCCGUGCUAUAUUUUCACGCAGUAUUGAGAGUCGCUCAGAGUCUAUUUUCUCAUUAGUUCAUUUUGAUAUUUGGGGUCCUAGUAGAGUCAGUUCACUCUUUGGAUUUCGGUACUUUGUUACUUUCAACAACAACAACAAACCCAGCGUAUUCCCACAAAGUGGGGUUUGGGGAGGGUAAAACGUACGCAGUCCAUACCUACCUCCGAAGAAGUAGAGAGGUUGUUUCUGAUAGACCCAGGCUCAAGAUAAAGAAUAGUAAACAAGAGCAUAAUGAAACAUGAAGCAGGAUGUAUGGCAUAACAUAAAUAACGAAUAAGACAUGAUACAAUAGAAAUUAGAGCAAUACGAAAUAAGAUAAAUAAGCUCAAUAUGAAAUACGAGAUAAGAAAAGGACAUCUGGAAUAGGACAACCACCUAGUAAUAAUAUACACUCACAGAGCAAAGGCACCCACCACCCUCAAACCCUCCUGACUAGGGGCUCCUACCGAUGGACACACUCCUAGGAUUGAUGAAAGAUCAUUCCGAGUUAUUCUCUAUAUUCAAAAGUUUUUGUGCUGAAAUACAAAAUAAAUUUGGUGUUUCUAUUCGUGCUUUUCGUAGUGAUAAUGCCUUAGAAUACUUAUCCUCCUAGUUUCAAGAGUUUAUGACUCAUCAAAGAAUCAUUCACCAGACAUCAUGUCCAUACACCCCCCAGUGGAACUGUAUAACAGAAAGGAAACAUAGGCAUCUCAUGAGACUGCUCACACUCUUCUCAUUGAAUCCCAUGUUCCGCUGCGUUUUGGGGGCGAUGCAGUCCUCACAUCUUGCUAUCUCAUUAACAGAAUGUCAUCAUCUUCGAUCUAGAAUCAGGUUCCCCAUUCUAUACUAUUUCCUCAGUCACAUCUCUACUCUAUCCCCCCUCGUGUUUUUGGGGCACAUGUUUUGUUCAUAACUUAGCCCCAGGAAAAGAUAAAUUAGCCCCUCGUCCUCUCAAAUGUGUCUUCCUUAGUUACUCUCGAGUUCAAAAAGGGCAUCGAUGCUAUUCACCUGAUCUGAGUCGCUACCUUAUGUCUGCCGAUGUCACAUUCUUUGAAUCUCAACCUUACUAUACAUCUUCUGAUCAUUUUGAUAUCUUGAGGUUUUACUUAUACCUCCAAUCUUACCUACACCAAUCUUUGAGGAAUCUACGGUUACUUCUCCCUCUCCAGCUACAGUGCCACCACUUUUGACUUAUCACCGCCGACCACGUCCAGCAUCAAUCCCAGAUGAUUCAUGUCAUGCGCCUGACGCUUCCCUACUGCGGACCUGCCUCUUCCUAGCCAAUUAGUUGCACUUCAAAAAGGUAUAAGAUUCACUCAUAAUGCUAACCCACAUUAUAAUUUCUCUAGUUAUCAUCGUUUGUCAUCACCCCAUUAUGCUUUUGUAUCAUCUUUGUCCUCUAUUUCCAUCCCUAAGACUACAGGUGAAGCACUUUCCUAUUCAGGAUGGAAACAGGCUAUGAUUAAUGAGAUGUCUGCUUUACAUACGAGUGGUACUUAGGAGCUUGUUUCCCUUCCUGCAGGUAAAUCUACUGUUGGUUGUCGUUGGGUUUAUACAAUCAAAGUUAGUCCAGAUGGUCAGGUUGAUAGGCUAAAGGUUCAUCUUGUUGCCAAAGGAUAUGCACAAAUAUGUGGGCUUGAUUAUAGUGACACUUUCUCUCCCGUGGCUAAAAUAGCAUCAUUCCGUCUUUUUCUCUCUAUGGUUGUUGUUCAUCAUUGGCCUCUUUAUCAGUUGGACAAUAAGAAUGCUUUUCUACAUAGUGAUCUUGAGGAAGAAAUCUAUACGGAGCAACCACCUGGAUUUGUUGCUCAGGGGAGUCUAGUAGCCUUUUAUGUCGAUUGCGCAAGUCACUCUAUGGUUUGAAAUAGUCCCCUCGAGCCUAGUUAGGAAAGUUUAGCACAGUGAUUCAGGAGUUUGGCAUCAUUCGUAGUGGAGCUGAAUAUUCAGUGUUUUAUCGCCAUUCUGAACCAAAUUUGUGUAUUUAUUUAGUGGUUUAUGUUGACGAUAUUAUUAUCACCGGCAAUGAUCAACAUGGUAUCACUAACUUGAAGCAACAUCUCUUUCAGCAUUUCCAAACUAAAGACCUUAGCAGACUGAAAUUCUUUCUAGGUAUUGAGGUUGCUCAGUCCAAAUUUGGUAUUGUUAUUUCUAACCGCAAGUAUGCUUUAGACAUUCUUGAGGACACAGAAAUGAUAGGAUGUCGACCUAUUGACACUCUUAUGGAUCCAAAUGCUAAACUUCUGUAAGAACAAGGUAAGCCACUCAGUGAUCUUGGAAGGUAUAGGUGGUUGGUUGGAAAGUUGAAUUAUCCCACAGUGACUAAACCUGACAUCUCUUUUCGUAUGAGUGUUGUAAGUUGGUUUAUGACUUCUCGUGAUAGUCAUUGGGAAGCAGUUGUUCGUAUUUUGUGAUAUAUAACGUCAUCUCCAAGUAAAGGACUACUCUUUGAGGAUCGAGGCCAUAAGCAUAUCAUUGGAUAUACAGAUGUUGAUUGGGCAGGAUCAUCCUCUGAUAGACGUUCUACAUCUGGAUAUUGUGUUUUAGAAGGUAAUUUGGUGUCCUAGAAGAGUAACAAACAGAGUUGCUCAAUCUAGUGCCGAAGCAGAAUAUUGAGCAAUGGUUGCAGCAACUUGCGAGCUGGUUUGGAUCAAACAAUUGCCAGGAGAACUAAAAUUUGGAGAAACUGGUAAAGAAGGAGCUUGAAUGUGAUAAUCAAGCAGCCUUUCAUAUUGCAUCUAAUCCAGUGUUCCAUGAGAGGACCAAGCAUAUAGAGAUUAAUUGUCACUUAGUCAGAAAAAAGAUACUCUCGGGAGAUAAUGUUACAAAAUUUGUAAAGUGAGGUGAUCAACUUGCAUAUAUCUUCACCAAGUCCCUCACCAGUCCUCGUAUUAAUUACAUUGUAACAAGUUAAGUACAUAUGAAUUGUAUGCACCAGCUUGAGGGGGAGUAUUAGAAUAUGAGUAGGAAGAGAAAUAGUAUACAAAAUCCUACUUGGAAAAGGAUUGUAAUGUAGUGUCUAUAAAUAGGGUGUCAAUGUAAUUAGGUAGACACACAAUUCAACAAUAUUUUUUCUCCAUUAUUUCUCACAGUUUCAUAAAGGAAUAAAAGCACAGAGUUUAAGAAAGAUAGGAAUGCUUUUGAAACUUAUGGUUUAAUCAUGCCACAACAUUUGUGUGGCUAUAAAAGCUAGUCAUUAGUAGCAUCAUAGUCCUACACUUCUUUAGUACCAACCCAGAAACACUAAUCACGAACUUGCUCAUACUAGAGCGGGUAUCAGAAAUCAAAUCAGAAGCAUACUUGGCCAAUCAGUUGAACUUCAAGCAGUACUUUUUAACAGUCAUGGAGCCCUUCCUCAAGUUUAUAAACUCCUCAAUCUUUGAAUCCCUUAUCUUAAGCAGAAAAAAACGUGUCCAAGAAUGCAUCUUGGAACACCUGCCAAGUCAUAAGAGGAACAUCCUCACCUCUACCCUUCCUCCAUGAUACAAGCCAGUCAUAAGUUAUGUCCUUCAACCUGUAAGAUGCCAAAUCAACACUUUCUUUCUCAGAAAAAUGCAUCACCUGCAUGAUUAUUCUCACCUCUUCCAGGUACAACUAUGGGUCCUCACCUACCUUGGACCCAUAAAACUCUAGUGGAUUCAUCCAUAUGAAAUCACAGAUCCUAGCUGUGGCUACAUCACCUCCCUACUGAUUAGCAACUAUAGCCUGGUUAUUGGCUCGGAAAUUGGUGGUGACUGGUUGGGCUAACACUACUCUUCGAAAUGAACCAUCAUCAGAACCAGGCAAAGUUGUUCUAAGCAUAGCAAUGAUGGUCCUGACCACCUAUAGCACGAAUAUACCAGGUGAAUGACUAUUUUAAAAGCAUAUGAAUCUAUCUGCAGUAAUGGGAGGUAAGAGAUACCUUUUUUCUAUAGAAGGCCACACCAUGAACAUUGAAUGGGAUUUUUCUAUUACGAAAUGCCGCUUGAAAGAUUUUUCCUAACACCUAUUGUACAACACGAAGCCACAGAGGAAGAAAUAUUCAGCCAAAAACCCGCAAAAAAGUUCAAACAAGAUUGCUUUUUCAAAAGGUAAAGCUUGACCUGCCUCCGGAAUAGAAUUGCUAUGUCGCCGAAAGAGGACUUUCCUGCUGUGCCAUCAGAAGAUAUUUCUAAUAUUUUAUCAACAACAAAGGAACACUGUGCAGCCUCAUUGCAGCAUUCUUUGAUAGUAAUCUGCAAAGUAUCGUAUGUUAUAAGUACUCCUAUCAAGGAUGUUUAUCUCUAUAAGAAAGCUAAACUCAUUUACCUUAGACCCAACAGAAUUAUCAGUAAGAACACGUUUUGAUUGGCAUCUUUUCAAGUUAUUUUGUAUAAGAAAUGAUGCAGCUUCAACAAUGCAACGUGUGGAACGGUAAUUUUUAGUAAGUCUGACCUAAAUAGAGAUUGAUAUUACAUCACAAGGAGAAAAUUGGAACCGUAUCCGAAGUUCAUAUAAACAAGGACUAAAAAGACAAGCUAUAAUAAAAAGUUUGUCAAACCUCUUUGUUCAAAGGAAAAUCUUUCCGAAAUGAAUCAAAUCCAGAGGCAUCAGCACCAUUAAAACCAAAAAUGGACGGCAGAAUGAUAUUGAAAACUCUGAGCAGCAAGGUACUUGAAAGGAAAAAAGAAGUAAAGAAAUUGUCACAGCAAAACGAUAAGAAAAUGUUCCACUGGAUAAAGUAAGAAAAGACCAGCUUCACCUGAUCCUCAUCACCAACAAUAGUUAUGCGUUUAUGCGAUGCAAGGAUACGUAAAAG
rnacentral:lncRNA from 1 species